GGUGGCUCAGGGGUAGAGCACUUGCCUUCCAUGCAUGAGGCCCUGGGUUCGAUUCCUAGGCACCA
rfam:Dipodomys ordii contig_65350, whole genome shotgun sequence.